rnacentral:rRNA from 1 species
UACGUAGGGUGCAGGCGUUAAUCGGAAUUACUGGGCGUAAAGCGUGCGCAGGCGGCUCCUUAAGUCAGAUGUGAAAUCCCCGGGCUUAACCUGGGAACUGCGUUUGAAACUGGGGGGCUUGAGUGUAGAAGAGGGGGGUGGAAUUCCAGGUGUAGCAGUGAAAUGCGUAGAUAUCUGGAGGAACACCGAUGGCGAAGGCAGCCCCCUGGGCUAACACUGACGCUCAUGCACGAAAGCGUGGGGAGCAAACAGG